UGUUGGGUGCAAUUUUUAUGAUUAUCGUGGCUACAAGUACUUAGCCAUGGAAUUUGAGGAUGAUUAUUAGGAACAAUCUUUUUCUUACCGACCGUCCCUAAAACAAGUGGCAAAGAAAUUGGUGGUUGAUACCCGAAACUCAAGUUCGAAUCCUAGUUGAUUCACAUUUCCAGCUAAGUUUAUUUAUAAAUGAAAUAAAUGAAGCGGAUAGCGUGCUAUCUAUCUCUCUCUCAAAAAAAAAACAUUCUUUUUCUUCA
rnacentral:lncRNA from 1 species